UACGGGGGGGGCAAGCGUUGUUCGGAAUUACUGGGCGUAAAGGGCGCGUAGGCGGUGCUCUAAGUUAGAUGUGAAAACUCUGGGCUCAACCCAGAGCCUGCAUCUAAAACUGGAGUGCUAGAGUUCUGGAGGGGGUAGCGGAAUUCCUGGUGUAGCGGUGAAAUGCGUAGAUAUCAGGAGGAACACCGGUGGCGAAGGCGGUUCUCUGGGCAUUACCUGACGCUGAGGAGCGAAAGUGUGGGGAGCGAACAGG
rnacentral:rRNA from 1 species